UAAAUUAUGAUUAGAUAGCAAGCUCAUGUUAGUAUUAUUUGUCAAUCGUAUAGACAACUACACUACAUUAUUUCCAGAAAUGAUGCAGUAUUUGCAUAUUAAUACCUGUGAAUCAUGGUUAUUCUCAUUUAAGGGGUGUAUUCGAUUGGGAUUUUAAUGGAUUGUUUUUAGUCUAUGGAUUUUAAUGGAUUGUAUGAGAUUUUGAUUUUGUGCGGAUUCUUAAUAAAAUGUCGCAGAGUUGAUGGGAUUUAGGUUCAAUGCUUCAAAAUCCCAUUGAUUUUGAUGGGAUUUCAAAAAACUUAAAAUACACUCAAGAAUGCCACAAAAUCCAUCAUUUUAUGAAAUGAAAAAAAAUCCAUCAGCAUUUGAAUACCAUCAGAUUUUAAUGGAUUUUAAACAAUCCCAAUUGAAUACCAUCGGAUUUUAAAGCAUAAUUUAAAAUCCCAAUUGAAUACCACCAGAUUUUGUAACAUAAUUUAAAAUCCCAAUUGAAUACCUCAAAAUUUUAAUGGAUUUCAAACAAUCCCAAUCGAAUACCCUCGGAUUUCAUGAAUGCAAAAAAAUGCGUUAAAAUCCCAAUCCAAUACACCCCUCUUAGUUUAUUGCAGAAAUAAUACACUUCAAGAUUUCCCAGUAUUGUAACAGAAAUUUUCAGUGGCAACAGAGUAUCAUAAAACAGAGAUUUUCGUUGUCAA
rnacentral:lncRNA from 1 species